rnacentral:ncRNA from 1 species
GCCGAACGCCUGAUCCAGGCUUCGCUUCGGAUAAACAGAAACGCCGCGGCCCUGGCCGCGGCGUUUUUCUUUGCGAGGGGUGGCG